UGGGGAAUCUUGGACAAUGGGCGCAGGCCUGAUCCAGCAAUGCCGCGUGCAGGAAGAAGGCCUUCGGGUUGUAAACUGCUUUUGUACGGAACGAAAAGGCUCUGGUUAAUACCUGGGGCACAUGACGGUACCGUAAGAAUAAGCACCGGCUAACUACGUGCCAGCAGCCGCGGUAAUACGUAGGGUGCAAGCGUUAAUCGGAAUUACUGGGCGUAAAGCGUGCGCAGGCGGUUUUGUAAGACAGGCGUGAAAUCCCCGGGCUUAACCUGGGAAUUGCGCUUGUGACUGCAAGGCUGGAGUGCGGCAGAGGGGGAUGGAAUUCCGCGUGUAGCAGUGAAAUGCGUAGAUAUGCGGAGGAACACCGGAUGGCGAAGGCAAUCCCCUGGGCCUGCACUGACGCUCAUGCACGAAAGCGUGGGGAGCAAACAGGAUUAGAUACCCCAGUAGUCCCUGAGCGGGCUGGCAAGGCGCAU
rnacentral:rRNA from 1 species